UACGAAGGGGGCUAGCGUUGUUCGGAAUUACUGGGCGUAAAGCGCACGUAGGCGGACUCUUAAGUCAGGGGUGAAAUCCCGGGGCUCAACCUCGGAACUGCCUUUGAUACUGUGAGUCUCGAGACCGGAAGAGGUGAGUGGAAUUCCUAGUGUAGAGGUGAAAUUCGUAGAUAUUAGGAAGAACACCAGUGGCGAAGGCUGCUCACUGGUCCGGUUCUGACGCUGAGGUUCGAAAGCGUGGGGAGCAAACAAG
rnacentral:rRNA from 1 species